rnacentral:rRNA from 1 species
UACGUAGGGGGCAAGCGUUGUCCGGAUUUAUUGGGCGUAAAGAGCGUGUAGGCGGCCAAGCAGGUCCGCUGUGAAAACUCGAGGCUCAACCUCGAGAGGUCGGUGGAAACCGUUUGGCUAGAGUCCGGAAGAGGAGAGUGGAAUUCCCGGUGUAGCGGUGAAAUGCGCAGAUAUCGGGAAGAACACCGGUGGCGAAGGCGGUCUGCUGGGCAGUAGCUGACACUGAGGCGCGACAGCGUGGGGAGCAAACAGG